GUCUCGAUGGUCUAAUGGUUAUGACGUGCGUCUCACAUCCACCCGGGAUUGAACCGGGUCGUGCACUCAAGGUUCCCGGUUCGAUCCCGGGUCGAGACA